rnacentral:rRNA from 1 species
GGGUUGUGAGGUUAAGCGACUAAGCGUACACGGUGGAUGCCCUGGCAGUCAGAGGCGAUGAAGGACGUGCUAAUCUGCGAAAAGCGCCGGCGAGGUGAUAUGAACCUUUGACCCGGCGAUGUCCGAAUGGGGAAACCCAGUGCAAUUCGUUGCACUAUCGUUAACUGAAUACAUAGGUUAACGAGGCGAACCGGGGGAACUGAAACAUCUAAGUACCCCGAGGAAAAGAAAUCAACCGAGAUUCCCCCAGUAGCGGCGAGCGAACGGGGAGCAGCCCGGAGUCUGAAUCAGCUUGUGUGUUAGUGGAACGGUCUGGAAAGUCCGACGGUACAGGGUGAUAGUCCCGUACACGAAAGCACACAUGCUGUGAACUCGAAGAGUAGGGCGGGACACGUGGUAUCCUGUCUGAAUAUGGGGGGACCAUCCUCCAAGGCUAAAUACUCCUGACUGACCGAUAGUGAACCAGUACCGUGAGGGAAAGGCGAAAAGAACCCCGGCGAGGGGAGUGAAAAAGAACCUGAAACCGUGUACGUACAAGCAGUGGGAGC